UCUCCAUACCUUGGAUCUUAUGGAUGUCCAGGAUUCUGAUCGUAGCCAUACACGCGUCCGGCCUCUGCUGGUAUCCACACGAAAAUAUCUGAUCGGAGCACUGAGAUCAUCGGUAUGCUAGCACCUUGUAGAUCUCACUCUUCAUCAUUGGAUCUAAAUCUCUUCUUCUAGAUCUUGAAGAAGGAGAUUGCUGCACAAACUCUUUCGCGU
rnacentral:lncRNA from 1 species